rnacentral:lncRNA from 1 species
UCUCCCUUGAAUUGAGAGUUUUAGCUAGUUUAGUCAAAGUUACGAGAGUCAAGUACUUUUGAUGACUUUUCUUCUAGUCUAGCCUUCACCAUAAUUCAUGAUCACGAUAAACUUCGAUGGCUAGGGAUUUUGUAUGCAAAUGCAAUGGCUUAAGUGACACUUAUUGUAUAUAUGCAUAGCUAGGAUAUUGCACAUGCGAUGCACUUAGCUGAGAAAGGAUGAACCAAUUAGGAGUGCUGCAAGAGAGGAAUCAUGCAUGGAUGAAGGGCUGUAGAGUUUCCAAACCAUAUGAGUUUCUCAAGCUUUACACAUUCCAUAUGGGACCUGUCCACAAAUUGAAAGGAGAGAGAAAGAAAGAAGAGGAGGAAAA